rnacentral:lncRNA from 1 species
UUUCUUUUUUGAAAAACAUGUUAAAAUAUAUUGCCGAUUUUUUAUUUUUUUUACAAAAGUUACAAUGAGAGCUGGUAGCAGAAAAUAAAAUAAAAUGAAAGACUAAACAACUACUAGAAACAAAUGAAAAACAUAACAAUUAGCAAAGAAGAAGAAGAGGAGAAGACUACAAACAAACAAAAUGAACCUACUCUCAAGACGAGAUUGCAAUGAACUGCCCACAAAGUAGCAAAGCUCAGUCCCUUUAAGUUACUGCGAGCUACAGAGAGUAGUCCAGCCCUCAAAACCAUCUCCGCUCCUGCAGCUUCUUUGAGGUCCUAAACAAAGUUAACAAGCAAACAGUACAAACUCUCUUUGGAAACCUGAUGGGUGCACAAGGAAACAAACAACUCGGCUUGAUCAAAACAGGAGAUCCCGGAUAAAGGUUUGGUCAUGUGCUUCAACUGCACCGAUCUAGCGGGGAUCUUUGCAGCACGGAUAGCGACUCCGCACCACCGCAUGAGGGUAACCGCCGAUUGAGAGAGCCGUUGCGCACAAAUUCAUAUAGAAAAGAUCCAACUGCUGAGUGGAGCAGUCCUCAACGCCUCAAACGCCAAAUGGUACUCUUAUUAGGAUGGAGAUAGAGGAUCGCAAACGCCACAAUUCCGGAAACUGCACAAAGAAGAGAGAGCCAAAACUACCAAAGGCAGACUAAAGACCACCAAGAAGGAAGAAAAAGCUCUAGCGAGCCGCCACCGAAGAACACUACUCCAAUGACCAAAAGCUCCGCACUCGCUCUGUCCAUGAGGACCAGGGAAAUAAUCUUCUCAAACAUGUUAAUCACGCACCAACAUGGUACUGCCGAGACACUGAAAGGAAGAUAAGGACUGAACCACUGAUGACUCGGUGGAAACCGAGUGAACACCAACGGAUCAGAGUCCAACGCGCCGCCACAACAACUCUAGACGCACCUAGAGCGUCCUACGCGCCACCACAUAACAGCAGCACACCUCGCUUCCGAGCCACACAAAAGGCGGCAAAGCUGCUCGUCGCCACAAACAACAGCGAAGCCAACGCGACAGAAAAACCACAAAUCUAAUCCAAACGGGAACCAACCACCACCUACCCGCUGUAGAUAGGGGUCUCUACCACGACCUUCAACGGACCACGAAACCAUAAACCUCCAAGAUUCAACAACCAGCAACCGUUAAAACUUCUAAAAGACCUAAGUUGAUGGAGUUAAAGACCGGCGGAGAAGAUUGACGCCGUCCUCAAACGCCUCACGAAUCCCACCGCAACAACACCCAUCCGCUCAGAACUUCAGAUCUGGAGCUAGGGGUAAGAAUCUCCCAACCGUGACGACCCUCUGCACCCAGCCCACUCAACACCAGCCUCACAGCAACUCCAGAUCCGGCCUGAACUCCCUAAAACGGAGCACUACGAGCAACUCCUUUUUCUGUUGUUGUUAUCGUUCCUUACCUUUUUUUUUGAAACUUAUUGUUCCUUACUCCACCUUAUAAUAAGUGGAGGACUUCAAACUGUAAACGAGUAGCCGUAUCCUUAGCUACCACGUAAUUCUAAUUUGAACCUCUUGAAAUAUUAUUAAAAACUGUUCAGGUAGGACUCAGCCAAGACUGAAGACACCAGAUGAUAACAACAAAAACCAUUCGACUGCUUUUGCAGUUUCU